rnacentral:tRNA from 1 species
GCCUCUGUAGCUUAGUAGGUAGAGCGUGCGAGCACAUGACCGCAAGGUCGCCAGUUCGAGUCUGGCCAGAGGCG